GGAGGGUUGGCAGAGCGGUUGAAUGCACCGGUCUUGAAAACCGGCAAGGGUUUGUAGCCCUUCCAGGGUUCGAAUCCCUGACCCUCCGCCA
rnacentral:tRNA from 2 species